rnacentral:rRNA from 1 species
UACGUAGGGUGCGGGCGUUGUCCGGAAUUAUUGGGCGUAAAGGGCUCGUAGGCGGUCUGUCGCGUCGAAAGUGAAAACCCAGGGCUUAACCCUGGGCCUGCUUCCGAUACGGGCAGACUAGAGGUAUGCAGGGGAGAACGGAAUUCCUGGUGUAGCGGUGAAAUGCGCAGAUAUCAGGAGGAACACCGGUGGCGAAGGCGGUUCUCUGGGCAUUACCUGACGCUGAGGAGCGAAAGUGUGGGGAGCGAACAGG